GUGAUAGCAACAUUCUUGUCUUGUUCCUGGUCUCAGAGACUGCACCUAAAAUUUCCAUGUUAAAUAUGAGAUAUGUUGUUGGGUUUUGGUGUAUAAUCAAUCAGGGAAGAAUGUAUAAAGAAAGUAAUGGACCAUUUCAUGAAAGUCUGGUAGAACUCAACUGUGAGACUAUCCAGACCUGGAGUGUAUUGGGAAGGGAAGUCUUUGUAGUUUUAUUUUCAGUGCUAUUUGCCAUUUCAUGUUCUCCUUCAAUUAUUUUGUACAUCAAUUUCAAAUUUUAUGUUUUCUAUGAACUUAUUCAUUUCAUAUACUUUAAAAUUUAUUG
rnacentral:lncRNA from 1 species